rnacentral:lncRNA from 1 species
CAACUGCAACACUUCAGAAGUUAUUUGUGGAGUAAGAUGUUCGACCAUACAGUGAAUAAUUCGAAGCUAGGGAGAACAGGUUAGAGUCUGGUAUGAAGAAGAAAGGGAAGGAAAGGAAUAGUUUUGAAGCUCAGCGCUAGAACGACUCGAUGUCCAUGCCAGGGUACCCCGAGUGGGGCUUGAAAUCCUGCGUCUCAGUGCCUUACAGGGAAUGGUAGAAACUGGAAAAUCUACAAGUAAAGUAUUGGGACCUCCUAAUUUUCCUUUUAGAUGGAGGAAAACGGGCUGGGAUUCCCUGCAGCACUUAGCACACGCUGCUAUGAGUAACACGAUCUGGAAAGACAGCGCUAGCAAGGAAUGAGGAGUGAUACAGUGACUGGAGGCUAAGAGAUAAUGUCUGCAAGUCACCUAAAACCAUUGCAGACACAGGGAGAUUGAUGGAUUUGGAGGACUUCUGGUUGUGAAGACUCUGACGAUUGCUAAAGAGGACUGGCAGACUGGUGGAUAUGUGCAUCUUGCAAGCUAAAACACAUGCCAGGCACAGGUCAUGGCACAACUGGCUGAUAAACCAAGUGGCUGGAAGGAACAGCUGUGUUAAUUAAUUACUUCACUCACUGCCACCUGAGACCAACUUCAGCUGAUCCUCACUGCUCAUGUCCAAGUGAACUUUUCUAUAUUCACAGAUUCCCUGAAUGGGUAUCUUCAAAAUGGAGCAUAAGUUAUUUUAUGUCUGGAAAGGGCUGGGGAAAGACUGAUAACCUGAUCACAUUUAAGAUUUAACAUGUGCGUAGCUGAAGUCUCUGUUUGGUG